rnacentral:lncRNA from 1 species
CUCCAGCGUCAUGAUGUGAUUCACCAGCAAGGAGGGACGCCAAAUAGGCGUCCAAUAAGAUAAGUCCCAUAAAAUAUAUAGAUGUAUGGUAAUUGAGACUGAGCUAACAAAUGAGAAUCCUAGUCAUUGACCAAGCAGCUUUGUAACUAAUACAAGUCUCUCUGUGUAUUCAUUUGGGCCUAACUCGGGCGGGCGGCUGACGUAAAGCUCACACAUGGCGGUGGGGCUCAGGUGGCUUUUGGCAAAAAGAUUUAUCAUAACAUAUAUGUACCAUAUUUUCAUUAUCCAUUCAUCUGUUAAUAGACAGCUAGGCUAAUUACAUUUCCUUGGUAUUGUGAAUAGUGCAGCAAUAAAAAUGGAUGUGCAAGUAUGUCUGUGGUAGGAUAUGGAGUCCUUCAGGUGUGUGUCCAGGAUUGGUAUAGCCGGGUCCUGUUAGUUCCAUUUUUAAAUGUUUGAGAAACCUCUACCCUGAUUUCUGAAUAUGCUUAUACUUACACUCCCACCAGCAGUUCCUCUUUCCCCACAUCCUCACCAGCAUUUUUUAAAUUUAAAUUUUAUUUUAUAGAUAUGUGUAGUUUGCCUGCAUGUAUGUCUGUGCACCACUUAUGUGUAUGGCACCUAAGGAGGCCAGAAGAAGGCAUCAGAUCCCUUGGAGUUACAAAUGGUUUUGAGUUGUCAGAUUCGAGAUGUGAUCCACCGGCAAGGGAGGAUGCCACUGGAAGGUGUUCGAUAAGAUAAGUGUUAUAAAAUAUAUACAUUUAUGAUAAUUAAGACUGAGCUAACAGAUGAGAAAUCCUAGUCACUGGCCAAGCAGCAUUUGUACAUAAUAGAAGUCUUUGGGGCCCUAACUCGAGUGGGCAGCUGGCAUAAAGCACACACGUGGCAGUGGGGCUCGGUGGCUUUUGGUGGAAAGAUCUAUCAUAACAUUAAAUACUUAUAAAUUUUAUUAUUUUUAUUAUUAUUAAUUUGAAUUUGUGUGUAUGUGUGUGUGAUGUGUACAUGAGUUCAGGGAUAUCUGUGCCACACUAUACGUAUAGAAUUCAGAGGACAACUCUGUGGAGUCAUUUUUCUCUUUCACCUUUAAUUGACUCCCUGGAUUGAAAUCAGAUUACCAGGCUUGCAUGGAGAGCAACUUUAUCCCCCUAGUGAUCUCAGGAUGCUGAACACUUAAAAAUAUUCAUUGACCCAUUUGUUUCUUCUUCUUUCCUCCUUGACUUUUUGUGUGUUUAAUUUUGGUAUAUAUAUAUAUAUAAAUAU